rnacentral:rRNA from 1 species
AAUGAACGCUGGCGGCAUGCCUAACACAUGCAAGUCGAACGAGAGCAUUCGGGGUCUAGUGGCGCACGGGUGCGUAACGCGUGGGAAUCUGCCCUUAGGUUCGGAAUAACAGUUACAAAUGACUGCUAAUACCGGAUGAUGACGUUAAGUCCAAAGAUUUAUCGCGUGAGGAUGAGCCGGAGUAGGAUUAGCUAGUUGGUGUGGUAAAGGCGCACCAAUGCGAGGAUCCUUAGCUUGGCAGAGAGGCUGGUCAGCCACACUGGGAGUGAGACACAGCCCAGACUCCUACGGGAGGCGGCAGUGGCUGAUAUUGGAAAAUGGGGGGAAGCCUGAUCCAGCAAUGCCGCGUAAGUGAUGAAGGCCUGAGAGUAGUAAAGCUCUUUUACCCGGGAUGAUAAUGACAGUACCGAAAGAAUAAGCCCCGGCUAACUCCGUG